GACGAACGCUGGCGGCGUGCCUAAUACAUGCAAGUAGAACGCUGAAGGAGGAGCUUGCUUCUCUGGAUGAGUUGCGAACGGGUGAGUAACGCGUAGGUAACCUGCCUGGUAGCGGGGGAUAACUAUUGGAAACGAUAGCUAAUACCGCAUAAGAGUAGAUGUUGCAUGACAUUUGCUUAAAAGGUGCAAUUGCAUCACUACCAGAUGGACCUGCGUUGUAUUAGCUAGUUGGUGGGGUAACGGCUUACCAAGGCGACGAUACAUAGCCGACCUGAGAGGGUGAUCGGUCACACUGGGACUGAGACACGGCCCAGACUCCUACGGGAGGCAGCAGUAGGGAAUCUUCGGCAAUGGACGGAAGUCUGACCGAGCAACGCCGCGUGAGUGAAGAAGGUUUUCGGAUCGUAAAGCUCUGUUGUAAGAGAAGAACGAGUGUGAGAGUGGAAAGUUCACACUGUGACGGUAUCUUACCAGAAAGGGACGGCUAACUACGUG
rnacentral:rRNA from 1 species